UACAGAGGGGGCAAGCGUUGUUCGGAAUUACUGGGCGUAUAGGGCGCGUAGGCGGCCCGCUAAGUCGAACGUGAAAUCCCUGGGCUCAACCCAGGAACUGCGUCCGAUACUGGUGGGCUUGAAUCCGGGAGAGGGAUGUGGAAUUCCAGGUGUAGCGGUGAAAUGCGUAGAUAUCUGGAGGAACACCGGUGGCGAAGGCGACAUCCUGGACCGGUACUGACGCUGAGGCGCGAAAGCCAGGGGAGCAAACGGG
rnacentral:rRNA from 1 species